ACUGCUCAGUAACACGUGGAUAAUCUGCCCUAAGGUCAGGCAUAACACCGGGAAACUGGUGAUAAUUCCUGAUAUACCAUAGAUACUGGAAUGUUCUGUGGUCAAAAGCUCCGGCGCCUUAGGAUGAAUCUGCGGCCUAUCAGGUCGUAGUGGGUGUAACGUACCUACUAGCCGACGACGGGUACGGGUUGUGAGAGCAAGAGCCCGGAGAUGGAUUCUGAGACAUGAAUCCAGGCCCUACGGGGCGCAGCAGGCGCGAAAACUUUACAAUGCGGGAAACCGCGAUAAGGGGACACUGAGUGCCAGCAUACAAUGUUGGCUGUCCGCAUGUAUAAAUAGCAUGUGUUAGCAAGGGCCGGGCAAGACCGGUGCCAGCCGCCGCGGUAACACCGGCGGCCCGAGUGGUGGCCACUAUUAUUGGGUCUAAAGGGUCCGUAGCCGGUUUGAUCAGUCUUCCGGGAAAUCUGACAGCUCAACUGUUAGGCUUCCGGGGGAUACUGUCAGACUUGGGACCGGGAGAGGUAAGAGGUACUACAGGGGUAGGAGUGAAAUCUUGUAAUCCUUGUGGGACCACCAGUGGCGAAGGCGUCUUACCAGAACGGGUCCGACGGUGAGGGACGAAAGCUGGGGGCACGAACCGGAUUAGAUACCCGGGUAGUCCCAGCCGUAAACGAUGCUCGCUAGGUGUCUGGGAUGGUGCGACCGUUUCAGGUGCCGCAGGGAAGCCGUGAAGCGAGCCACCUGGGAAGUACGGCCGCAAGGCUGAAACUUAAAGGAAUUGGCGGGGGAG
rnacentral:rRNA from 1 species